GACAUCAAACAAGCGGUCUUGUUUGUUAUCAAUUAUUUAAACUGUCGUCAUUGGAUGAGAGGUACCGUUGAAAAUUAGUCUUAUCAUUUGAAAAGUUUCGAAUAAAUGAAAAAGUAUAAGUUAUUUUUAAUUGUGUUAAUUACUAUUUACGACGUGGACAAGGAAAAAGGAAAAAAAUGCACCUUAAAUCCAAGCAUAACUUUUUUUCAACACAAAAAUGUACCAGAUACCAUCGAACCGGAAACGCUCAAGGUUAUCCAGCGUGGACAAGUUCAAAACGAGCAGCCAGAGCAAUAACAUCGCCAGCAGCUGAUUCGAUUCCUGACGACCACCGCGCCAGGGCAUGGUCCCCAUUAAUGCCGGCUGACCGCGGUGUUCCAGUUGGGCACAAUCCAUUAUUCAUCGAGGGGUGGGUUCGGGAAAUGGCCGCGGCAGGGAACAAUUCCAAACACACAUCAGGGUGAAAUCAAGAAGAGCAGAAGAGAAAAAAGUGCGCGCCAGGAAGAACUUUUAUGCAUUUUAUCGACCAAUAGCAGCAGCGACCACCUGGACGGAUGGUAAACAAUCGAUGGCCGGAGCUUUUUAUGAGGAAUGCUUUUUUUGUUAUUCUGUUGAGUUGGAUUAUUUACAUUCGGACAGGACGACCCUGACGAGGCCUUUAUCGGGCAUGGCGCCAUUUUUUCUAAUGGAAAAUUUUUCAAGACCAAAAGGUAAAACCUUCAAAACGAAAAAAUCCUAACAAAGUUACGUAAAAUCCAUAAAUCAGCAUUGCUAACAUUA